rnacentral:misc_RNA from 1 species
AAGUCGUAACAAGGUUUCCGUAGGUGAACCUGCGGAAGGAUCAUUAUUGGAUUUUCUGUGGUUGACUGCUGGCCUUUCGAGGCAUGUGCGCCCAUGGUUCUUCUAUUCUUUUUUUGUGCACCACCGUAGUCUUUGAUUUGUUAAUUCAACAACUUGUUGUUGAGUUGAGGGGAAGAUUGGAAGCCUAACACGCUUCUGGUGGGGUCUCAGGACCCUACGCCCUGGACAGGAGCUGUAAAAAAGCUUCGAUAAGACUAAUAUAUAUAUAUAACACAAUGCAUGUCCAGAAUGUCAGUUUUUUGGCGAAAGCCUUUAUAACACAAAUACAACUUUCAGCAACGGAUCUCUUGGCUCUC